rnacentral:rRNA from 1 species
UACGAAGGGUGCAAGCGUUAAUCGGAAUUACUGGGCGUAAAGCGUGCGUAGAUGGUUCGAUCAGUCGGAUGUGAAAGCCCCGGGCUCAACCUGGGAACUGCAUCCGAUACUGUCGGACUAGAGUGUGAUAGAGGAUGGCGGAAUUCCCGGUGUAGCGGUGAAAUGCGUAGAGAUCGGGAGGAACAUCCGUGGCGAAGGCGGCCAUCUGGAUCAACACUGACGUUGAGGCACGAAAGCGUGGGGAGCAAACAGG